CAGGUCUACGGGCCCUAUAACUUAUGGGUUAUAUGGGAUUAUGCGGGUUAUAUAUGGGAUUAUUUGCGGGUUUAUAUGGGAUUAUGGGGUUUUAUAUGGGAUUCUAUGGGGUUAUAUGGGAUUAUAUGGGGUUAUAUGGAUUAUAUGGGGUUAUAUGGGAUUAUGGGGUUUUAUAUGGGAUUAUGGGGUUUUAUAUGGGAUUAUGGGGUUUUAUAUGGGAUUAUGGGGUUUUAUAUGGGAUUAUGGGGUUUUAUAUGGGAUUAUAUGGGGUUAUAUGGGAUUAUAUGGGGUUAUAUGGGAUUAUAUGGGGUUCUAUAUGGGAUUAUGGGGUUUUAUAUGGGAUUCUAUGGGGUUAUAUGGGAUUCUAUGGGGUUAUAUGGCAUUAUGUGGGGUUAGAAGUGGGGGUUAUGUGGCGGUUCUACCUGCUGCUCCUAUCAGAUGAGCAGAGGGGCAGG
rnacentral:lncRNA from 1 species